rnacentral:rRNA from 1 species
GAUUAUGGCUCGGGAUGAACGCUGGCGGCGUGCCUAACACAUGCAAGUCGAGCGAUUCUCUUCGGAGAAGAGCGGCGGACGGGUGAGUAACGCGUGGGUAACCUGCCCUGUACACACGGAUAACAUACCGAAAGGUAUGCUAAUACGGGAUAAUAUGCUUUAGUCGCAUGGCUGAGGUAUCAAAGCUCCGGCGGUACAGGAUGGACCCGCGUCUGAUUAGCUAGUUGGUGAGGUAAUGGCUCACCAAGGCGACGAUCAGUAGCCGACCUGAGAGGGUGAUCGGCCACAUUGGAACUGAGACACGGUCCAAACUCCUACGGGAGGCAGCAGUGGGGAAUAUUGCACAAUGGGCGAAAGCCUGAUGCCAGCAACGCCGCGUGAGCGAUGAAGGCCUUCGGGUCGUAAAGCUCUGUCCUCAAGGAAGAUAAUGACGGUACUUGAGGAGGAAGCCCCGGCUAACUACGUGCCAGCCGCCGC